GUUAGUGGAGACGGGUGAGUAAUGCGUAGGAAUCUACCUAGUAGUACGGAAUAGCCAUUAGAAAUGGUGGGUAAUACUGUAUAAUCCCCGAGGGGGAAAGAUUUAUCGCUAUUAGAUGAGCCUACGUUAGAUUAGCUAGUUGGUGAGGUAAUGGCUUACCAAGGCUAUGAUCUAUAGCUGGUCUGAGAGGACGAUCAGCCACACUGGAACUGAGAUACGGUCCAGACUCCUACGGGAGGCAGCAGUGGGGAAUAUUGGACAAUGGGCGAAAGCCUGAUCCAGCUAUGCCGCGUGAGUGAAGAAGGCCUUCGGGUUGUAAAACUCUUUCAAUAGGGAAGAUAAUGGGCUACCUAUAA
rnacentral:rRNA from 1 species